GGGAAGCUUCCAACAUGCAGCUCCCCUGCCUGCUGAGGGCAGUCAUAGCCUCCAUCUGGCUUGGAUCCAGCACGUCCCAGAAGGUAACACAAGACCAAGCUACAAUAUCUAUGCUAGAGAAGGAGGCUGUGAUCUUGAAUUGUGUAUAUAAUGCUACUAGUUUUAGUUAUUAUUUAUUCUGGUAUAAACAACCACCAAGCGGGGAAAUGAUUCUCCUCAUCGAUCAAGAGUCUUACAGGGAAGAGAAUGUGACCCAGGGUCGGUUUUCCCUGAACUUACAGAAGUCAGUCAGCUCCAUCAGCCUCACUGUCACGGCCUUAGAGCUCCAGGACUCGGCGGUGUAUUUCUGUGCUCUGAGAGAGUCCACAGUGAAGCAGGUGCCUGCAGGAGCCCUACAAAACCCUCAGAUCUCAACACCAGGCCUCCCCCAGCGAUGA